rnacentral:rRNA from 1 species
UCUGGCUCAGGACGAACGCUGGCGGCGUGCCUAAUACAUGCAAGUCGAGCGGACAGAUGGGAGCUUGCUCCCUGAUGUUAGCGGCGGACGGGUGAGUAACACGUGGGUAACCUGCCUGUAAGACUGGGAUAACUCCGGGAAACCGGGGCUAAUACCGGAUGGUUGUUUGAACCGCAUGGUUCAAACAUAAAAGGUGGCUUCGGCUACCACUUACAGAUGGACCCGCGGCGCAUUAGCUAGUUGGUGAGGUAACGGCUCACCAAGGCAACGAUGCGUAGCCGACCUGAGAGGGUGAUCGGCCACACUGGGACUGAGACACGGCCCAGACUCCUACGGGAGGCAGCAGUAGGGAAUCUUCCGCAAUGGACGAAAGUCUGACGGAGCAACGCCGCGUGAGUGAUGAAGGUUUUCGGAUCGUAAAGCUCUGUUGUUAGGGAAGAACAAGUACCGUUCGAAUAGGGCGGUACCUUGACGGUACCUAACCAGAAAGCCACGGCUAACUACGUGCCAGCAGCCGCGGUAAUACGUAGGUGGCAAGCGUUGUCCGGAAUUAUUGGGCGUAAAGGGCUCGCAGGCGGUUUCUUAAGUCUGAUGUGAAAGCCCCCGGCUCAACCGGGGAGGGUCAUUGGAAACUGGGGAACUUGAGUGCAGAAGAGGAGAGUGGAAUUCCACGUGUAGCGGUGAAAUGCGUAGAGAUGUGGAGGAACACCAGUGGCGAAGGCGACUCUCUGGUCUGUAACUGACGCUGAGGAGCGAAAGCGUGGGGAGCGAACAGGAUUAGAUACCCUGGUAGUCCACGCCGUAAACGAUGAGUGCUAAGUGUUAGGGGGUUUCCGCCCCUUAGUGCUGCAGCUAACGCAUUAAGCACUCCCGACCUG